AUCAGGUUCUAAAAAAUGUUCUGUUUUUUCUCCCUCUGCUUGCUUCUUACUGUCUUUGAGUUUCGGGACCAGCACUCCUGCUGUUGGACAGAAAGACAUCAACUCAGUGACUUGAGAUAUGACUGCACUAUGCUGUUGCUGUUGACUCCAGUUAAUUCUACAAGACAUACUGUGACACCAGGAGAGAUGAGUCCUCCAUCACAGAUGGUGUAGUCAGUGAAGAUGGUCGCCUGCAGGUUCAAGCUCAUUGCAUCUCCAACCCACAUCCACUGCCACUGUACUUAAGGGAAGUUAAAGACUUUCUCCUACAUUUGGAUCACCUCGAUCCAUGAUAGUCAUUCAGGCAGUAAUGCCUGGACUGGAAACAAGCCAUCCUUAAAAUAAUACAACAUUCCAGCUCCUGUGUUGGAAUG